rfam:Zostera marina strain Finnish scaffold_61, whole genome shotgun sequence.
ACUGCUUUAGGUAGUUUUUCACUAUGGCUUUUAACCAUGUGGUCGUGGGUUCGAGUCCCACAGACGGCG